ensembl:lncRNA
AAACAUUUAUUGGGCAUAAAUAUAUUACAUAUACACUACAGAUACAGUUAGGUAUUACAUAUAGCAUAGUAUUUGCAAAAUCUAUACAUUAAAAUUGAUAUGGCAGUUUUAAUACAAUGUAUAUGAAAUAGUCUAAAAUUUACAAUACAGGAAAACAUGAUUUUCUUUUUCUCCUAGAGUUGAAAAGCUUGGAAUGUAUGUCCAACAGUGAGGUAAAACAUUUUAUCUUUCAAUUUAAAGAAUUGUGCAAGGAUAACAUUCAAACACAUUCAAUUAGGGCACUUCUCAAUUUUUGACAUGAAUACUGAAUUACUGUAGCCAACAAAACAAGGUUAGAAAAUGCCAACAUUUAAAGUUGAUAAGAACAAGGCAGAGAAUAUGCAGAAAGUCUCUUUAAAAAGUGUUCUUUUUCAACAAUUUCUUUGAGGACAAAGGGCAGUUUGCUUCACAUGACUGGAAUUUCUUGUGCCAGGGAUGAGUUUGACAUACAGAGAAGAGUCAGAGCAUCAGAAGGCCACUCAUUCACUCCUCACAUAGCAAAAGGGCAAAGAGAUCAGGUUAAUAGAACACUUUAUUUUAUUGUUCGUGUGUAAUGGCAAUAUAUAUAGUUAUAUAUCAAUAUCACAUAUACAUAUUUGUGAUAGAAAACAGUGCCAUAGAGAGUAAUAAUUUUCUGACUGAAGGAAUAUAAUGAAUACCAAAUAAUGGAGAGCAAUAAAAUAAAGUGCUGUCAGCUUUGUAUUUCACACACUUCAGCUUCCUGGUGGUUAAAUGAUAGUAUGAAAAUCUCAAGAAGAUCAAAUAUUCAUAUAGAUUUUGGCCUAAAGUACUAUUUACUUAAAAAAAAUUCAACCAAUUCAGAGAAUUUCUUUAUAGCAGCAGUUCUGAAGUGUUUCAAAAAAGAGACUUCCCCAACCCCCCAAGAGGGGGCUUUGUACUCAGUUGAAUUUGCAUUGCUUAAAAAAUACCUCUCCCCGAAACACCUGCGUGGAAUUUUUUAGAAAAUGCACAUGCUGUGUCACAGUGGGUCACAGCACAUGUUUAAACAGGGGGGUGAGUUUUGGAAGGCCAGAACUUUGGCAGAAAUAUAUUUACCUCGAUGCCAUCAGUUUGCAAAGCUAAUUAAACUACUUAUUAUAGUCAAUAAUAAAAAACACAGAACUCUCUAGUACUCACUACAUCAAUAUAGGCACACAGAAUAAUUCAUUGAUCUCAGCAUUUUCUUCCAAGAGAUGAUUAUGGUUUUGGGGUACAUGUAAACGUUUCAAUCACUGAUAAUGGAUUUCUUUUUUUUUUUUUGGCAUUUAAUGCACUAGAUGCUCUUAUCUUUUUAAAAACACAAGAAAAUGUCAGAAGAUUAAUAAUACUACAGAUGUUGCCAAGGAACAAGACUGACCUAAAAUUACAAAAGUAUAAAACACAAAAAUAUAACAUGCUACAAGGGAAAAUUAGUACAUAAGUACAUUUAAAAAUUUUUUACAAUAAAUAAAGAUUGCACUGUAAUUGGCAUUUAAAGUACUGUAUGCAGAAUAUAGUAUAAAUAAACCAAAAACAAAAUAAUGUUGGUUUCCCCAUGACUUUGGUAUGGGAACAUUAUAAGCUAGUACAGGAUACUGCAUCUUAGACAACAAAGACCAAGCACAAAAUAGCUAUGAUCAAGAAAAACCAAGUAGCAAAAAUAUACAAAAACAGAAGCAGGGGGAUACACUGUGUCUGUUGCACCCUUUUGGAAUAUAUUUGCACCUCCAACUCUUAAAUGUCCCUGAGGUACUCGAACAUUAUGGACUUCAUAUAAAUAAUCCAAUGACUUUGGGUUAAAAUUGAUUAUCUCAUGACUCAAAAUAAACACAUAAGAGUAACACUUUGCACUCCAAUAGCACCUGUUGGUCAAAUAUCUCAAAGCACUUACAAACAUAAGAAUCCCCAUUUUAUUUUUAUUUUAUUUUUCAUGCAUGGGAAAACUGAGGCACAGAGAGGUAAAGUGACGUGUUCAGGUCACGCAGCAAGUUAGUGACAGAUCCAGGGAAAGAAUCUAGGCUCUUUGAUUCCCAAACACCCUGUGUUUACCAUCAAACACCAUUCCCUCUCCAACCAUGGCCAGGCAACCCCACAGAAAUAGGAACUACAAAUUUAGAUGACUCUCUUUUGGGUUUUAUCAAUUUUCAUCUGCGGUUACAUUAGUAUUAUGUGCACUGAAUUAAGGUAUUGAAAUUCAAUCACUUCAUUGAUACCUCAAAGAACAGCCUAAAGGCAAAUGCUUCAAAAAUAAUGAGCUGACACAUAAGAAGACUGCUCACAAUUAGUGUAAAUCAUGGACAAUGGGCAGAGGCACUAAACUGUCACCAGUUCUUGUCAUAUAAUUCUGGUCAAACAUAACAGAAUAUAAUAACUC